AGAUGUAAAAGUAAUUGGGCUGCAAUAUCUGUCACCCCAUGGAUCUGCAGGGUUAUAUUGGCUGAUCUGGCACGCUAGGCUGGUGUCCCCUCCCCCACACCACUCCAUGUGCAUCCUUCCCAAAGCUGCAUGCUCAGGUGAAGGGGACGACAUUUCUGUAAUAGAGGAGGACAAUUCUUUGGUCAAGGGUACAUGAGUACCUAUGCUCCCUUGCUAGAACCUUCAAACAACCUCUUGAGGUCCAUUUAUAGGAGAAUGUAGGGUACUCAAGCUUCUGAGACUCCAUACACAUCCAAAUGAGGCACUGCAUGUGGCAGUCUGACAUUCUUU
ensembl:misc_RNA 7SK 7SK RNA